AUUGAACGCUGGCGGAAUGCUUUACACAUGCAAGUCGAACGGUAGAGGGGGCAACCCCUCGAGAGUGGCGAACGGGUGAGUAAUAUAUCGGAACGUGCCCAGUCGUGGGGGAUAACGUAGCGAAAGUUACGCUAAUACCGCAUACGAUCUAAGGAUGAAAGCGGGGGAUCGCAAGACCUCGCGCGAUUGGAGCGGCCGAUAUCAGAUUAGGUAGUUGGUGGGGUAAAGGCUCACCAAGCCAACGAUCUGUAGCUGGUCUGAGAGGACGACCAGUCACACUGGAACUGAGACACGGUCCAGACUCCUACGGGAGGCAGCAGUGGGGAAUUUUGGUCAAUGGACGCAAGUCUGAUCCAGCCAUUCCGCGUGCAGGAUGAAGGCCCUCGGGUUGUAAACUGCUUUUGUACUGAACGAAAAGGUCUCUCUUAAUACGGGGGGCUCAUGACGGUACCGUAAGAAUAAGCACCGGCUAACUACGUGCCAGCAGCCGCGGUAA
rnacentral:rRNA from 1 species